rnacentral:misc_RNA from 1 species
GCCGAGCAGUCGGAUAGAGUAUUGAAUGUUGAUAAUGAUGUUUGCUUGAUGUCUCAAUCAGUAGUUAUCACUGAUGGGGUAGAACCCUUACAUCCGCAGCAGCCUCCACCUCAGGGUACCAACCCCUCCUCGGAUAUCCCGUUGGGCUUUCCUGAACGAGCGGUCUCAGCAGCUGGUGCAGCAUUUCUCUCUGCAGUCCUUGUUAAUCCACUUGAUGUUGUCAAGACCAGAUUGCAAGCACAGGCAGCUGGAGUUGCUUAUUCACAUCCAAUGAGUAACAUGACUAGCCGCAUGGCAGUUUUUGGGCCAAAUAUGAUGUUUGCAGACCUGAGGUGUUCACCUUCAUGUACCCGAGCUGGUGUUCA